GUGGGGUUGUGGCUCACUGGUAGAGCCCUUGCUUAGAAUGUGCGAGGCACUGGGUUCGACUCUCAGCACCACA
rnacentral:tRNA from 1 species